ACAGUAUUUGUGAGCCAUGCUAGGAUGUCAUGUGCAGCUAGUAUGUCAUGUACCUUAACUUAGUGUCAGGUGUUCUACCUAUUGUGAGGAU